UAGACGCUCAGAGGGUUUUUUCCCAAAGUAGAUGUGCAAAGCAAAGAGUUCUGUAAAACAGACUCGAGAGAGAUAAAGGAGGAUGUGGAGAACAGAGGAUCAUCUGUUGCCACCUGAAUGAUUCAUCUGGUCUUCAUUGUUGCAUAGCUUUCUCCAUGCUAACUGCUGAGCUGCAAUGUAACCAAGCACUGGAGCUGCGUUCUGCUGGAUUGGUCUGGUCUGGGAAAGGUACUUCGAUUGUCAAAGCAAAAUGCAAGCUCGGUCUUUUGGAAGCUGCCACAGCUGCAUUGGAGAAACAGAGAUUCCUGUCUGGAGAUGGUUCCUGCAAGAAGGCAGGAGAGAGUUUUUUGGCUGGGAAGAAUUGAAUGAGACUAUCUGAUUAUGGUUCAGGGCGGUGACCUAACCAUAGAUUAAGGAGAGAAAGACUACUCCGUCUUUUUCAUUGUGUUGCUUGAAAGCAUAUCGGCCAUUUGAGGGAUUUGAAUGGCUUGACACAGUCUUCAUUAUCUGCCCUGUGAGUUGUGUGCUCUGUAAAAUAAAAAAAACCCACAAAAUUCAGGCAACCUCCCUAGCAGAGGGAACUCUGCCAUCUUGCAGUCAGACAGCUCCCUUCAAAAUAUCUUUUGGACUCUUCACAAGUGACCUGCAGGUGCAGGAAUAGGAAUUGAGGACCACUUUCCAGCCUUUCAGAGCCUUGAUCAGAUUGGGAAAUUGGCAUUAAUACCGGUCUGUAUUUGUUCUUAUUGCAAAACAAUUUGUAUUUAGAACACACACUAUGUAGUUUGUGGAAACUAUUUGCCUAUGAAUAAAAUGGAU